CGGAUUUUCCACCACUUAAACUCAUUUUACCCUAAAUUCACCCAUUAAAUAUGAUUUUCUCACCCUCUCUCUCCCAUUUUUACCACAUCUUUCUCCUUCCUCUAUUGUUCUUCAACUUUCUCCAUAACCUCACCACCAAAAAGCUCACAACUUUGCAACUUUACUCAAUCGCCAACAUUCUUCACAAAAGUUUCUCUACUCUCCUUACUCUACAAAGCUACGGUAAUCAUUUUUAUUUUUU
rnacentral:lncRNA from 1 species